GUUGGCUCCUUUUGUUUUCUCUGUCCAGAGACAACCCGAGCAGUUGGCUGGUUCACCUUCUACAAUGAGAAACGGCCACUCAUCAACACACAGAGUCUUGUCAUCCCCCUCCGGUUGAGCAAACUGCAAAGACAUACUAUCAUACCAAUGUACAAACCUCAUGAGGAAGGAUCCGCACGGAAGACUGAUCCCAGUCCUCAGGCGCAUCCCAGGACUCAGUUUCCUUGAAGGGGUCAAGGGGACGUGGACGUGAAACCUCUCCCUUCACAACCACGGUGGUAGCAAAGGGUCUCACAGUCGGGGGUGACUUGGGAGGAGACACAGGCGGAGGUGUAACAGGCAGAGGUGACUGUAGCUGCCGAAAGGAGAAGUGCCACAGAAGCUUCGCGAGAAGCGGCAUCCCCAGAUCGUCACUCAGGUGGAUCUAUUAUAAUGAGAAGCACGGGUUAUUAUUGAAAUAAACUGCUUUUGCCAUAUAAAAAUGACAUUACAUGAAUUUCUCACGUGCCAAGUUAUAACACGACUUACCCCAUCACGACUCCACAA